AGCUUUAUAUUCAAAAAAUGAUUUUAAAUUGCAAAUUUAAAGGUAAGUUUAACUUUAAGGCUU
rnacentral:tRNA from 1 species